CCUACGGGAGGCAGCAGUGGGGAGUAUUGCACAAUGGGCGAAAGCCUGAUGCAGCGACGCCGCGUGAGGGAUGACGGCCUUCGGGUUGUAAACCUCUUUCAGCAGGGAAGAAGCGAAAGUGACGGUACCUGCAGAAGAAGCGCCGGCUAACUACGUGCCAGCAGCCGCGGUAAUACGUAGGGCGCAAGCGUUGUCCGGAAUUAUUGGGCGUAAAGAGCUCGUAGGCGGCUUGUCACGUCGGAUGUGAAAGCCCGGGGCUUAACCCCGGGUCUGCAUUCGAUACGGGCUAGCUAGAGUGUGGUAGGGGAGAUCGGAAUUCCUGGUGUAGCGGUGAAAUGCGCAGAUAUCAGGAGGAACACCGGUGGCGAAGGCGGAUCUCUGGGCCAUUACUGACGCUGAGGAGCGAAAGCGUGGGGAGCGAACAGGAUUAGAUACCCUGGUAGUCCACGCGUAACGUAGGACUAGUGUGCGACAUCACGUCGUCGUGCGCNGCUACGACAUACGUCCCGUCCGUCGGGAGGUACGGCCGCGAGACGUAAACUUAAAGUAGUAAGUUAGUACGGCGUUGUAGACGUUGCCGACGGCGACGACGAGGGAGGAGG
rnacentral:rRNA from 1 species